AAAGCUUAAAGCUGUUGGGAUGAGCAGCUGCCUGGGAAUCACGCUCCUUCCUGCUCUUUCCAAAAAGCCAGGUGCCGCCGGCCAGCAUCCCGCUCCCUUUGACCCGCAGUCUGUGCGGGAAGUAGGCCCGGAGUGGUGCCAGCAGGAGGUGGCCUUAGAAAGGCGGAGACCCAAGGAGCAGAGUGAGUCGGCGUCCAGCUCCACCUGAAAGCGCCAUCUUGUCGCCACUUCCCUCAGGAGCAGGAAGAAGAAGAGAUUUUGGAGUAGCAAUGGAAUAAUGACUGGAGACUGCAAGAGAUGACCCCACCUGGACCUACCAACCAGUCCUAUCAUCCCCACCCAGGAACUGACUCAGCACAAGAGGACAGCUUCAAUUCCCUAUAAUUUCAUCUCUGACCCAAAAAUUCAGCAUGCCUCCUACCUUAGCCCCCUGCCCUCCAAACUAUCUUUGAAAAACCCCUAACCUCCCAGCCUUCAGAAAGAUUGAUUUGAGUAAUAACUCUGUCUCCUGUGUGGCAUGGCUGGGCUCGCAUCAAUUAAACUCUUUCUUUACUGCAA
ensembl:lncRNA LINC01501 long intergenic non-protein coding RNA 1501